GCCUCUUUAGCUUAGUGGCAAAGCGGUGGUUUUGUAAACCACGGACGUCAGUUCGAUUCUGACAGGAGGCU
rnacentral:tRNA from 1 species